GGUGUUUAUCAAAAAUGCUUUUAGUAGCUAAGUAAAUAGACUCUGGAAAUUGGAACUCGGAUUUUAUGGUUUUUCUAGUUUGGGAAGUGCUAGGAUGGAGAUGUUGGGUCAAGUGUGAAGGAAGUUAUUAUUUUUUCAUUAAUCAUAAAUUACUUUGGCUAAUAAUGCGGUUAUUGGUUUUCUAGAGGUGGGAUUUCUUGCCAAAACCAAGGCAAAAGAAAUUUGAUUAGUUAUGGUUUUUCCUUAUCAAUAUCAGCAACCAAAAUUGAUGUAAAAUUGGAAAUUUUCGAAAUUUUAACAUUAUGAACGGGAGCACUAGAUUGAUUGACUAAUAGAUAUUGCCGUGGUGUUAAUUGUAGGUUAUUGAGAGAGAUGGACAUCUACACAUUUACAUAAUAAUGUGUUUGGGGUGGUUUCAAUGUUUGUAUGAUUUUCAGGGGCCAAUUGAAUUCUGAGCCAUCUAAAGUGAAUUAAUUUGCUAUCACAUGGUCUGUCAUGAUUUCUUGCUCUUGUUAGAUUGAAACUGUUUUGAAUAUCAGGUGCACAAGUAUCAAGAAAAGU
rnacentral:misc_RNA from 1 species